rnacentral:rRNA from 1 species
GGUUAAGCGACUAAGCGUACACGGUGGAUGCCCUGGCAGUCAGAGGCGAUGAAGGGCGUGCUAAUCUGCGAUAAGCGCCGGUAAGGUGAUAUGAACCGUUAUAACCGGCGAUACCCGAAUGGGGAAACCCAGUGUGACUCGUCACACUAUCAUUAACUGAAUCCAUAGGUUAAUGAGGCGAACCGGGGGAACUGAAACAUCUAAGUACCCCGAGGAAAAGAAAUCAACCGAGAUUCCCCCAGUAGCGGCGAGCGAACGGGGAGGAGCCCAGAGCCUGAAUCAGCAUGUGUGUUAGUGGAAGCGUCUGGAAAGGCGCGCGAUACAGGGUGACAGCCCCGUACACAAAAGCGCAUGUGCUGUGAGCUCGAUGAGUAGGGCGGGACACGUGGUAUCCUGUCUGAAUAUGGGGGGACCAUCCUCCAAGGCUAAAUACUCCUGACUGACCGAUAGUGAACCAGUACCGUGAGGGAAAGGCGAAAAGAACCCCGGCGAGGGGAGUGAAAAAGAACCUGAAACCGUGUACGUACAAGCAGUGGGAGCACCCUUUGGGGUGUGACUGCGUACCUUUUGUAUAAUGGGUCAGCGACUUAUAUUCUGUAGCAAGGUUAACCGAAUAGGGGAGCCGGAGGGAAACCGAGUCUUAAUUGGGCGUUAAGUUGCAGGGUAUAGACCCGAAACCCGGUGAUCUAGCCAUGGGCAGGUUGAAGGUUGGGUAACACUAACUGGAGGACCGAACCGACUAAUGUUGAAAAAUUAGCGGAUGACCUGUGGCUGGGGGUGAAAGGCCAAUCAAACCGGGAGAUAGCUGGUUCUCCCCGAAAGCUAUUUAGGUAGCGCCUCGUGAAUUCAUCUCCGGGGGUAGAGCACUGUUUCGGCUAGGGGGCCAUCCCGGCUUACCAACCCGAUGCAAACUGCGAAUACCGGAGAAUGUUAUCACGGGAGACACACGGCGGGUGCUAACGUCCGUCGUGAAGAGGGAAACAACCCAGACCGCCAGCUAAGGUCCCAAAGUCAUGGUUAAGUGGGAAACGAUGUGGGAAGGCCCAGACAGCCAGGAUGUUGGCUUAGAAGCAGCCAUCAUUUAAAGAAAGCGUAAUAGCUCACUGGUCGAGUCGGCCUGCGCGGAAGAUGUAACGGGGCUAAACCAUGCACCGAAGCUGCGGCAGCGACGCUUAUGCGUUGUUGGGUAGGGGAGCGUUCUGUAAGCCUGUGAAGGUGGCCUGUGAGGGUUGCUGGAGGUAUCAGAAGUGCGAAUGCUGACAUAAGUAACGAUAAAGCGGGUGAAAAGCCCGCUCGCCGGAAGACCAAGGGUUCCUGUCCAACGUUAAUCGGGGCAGGGUGAGUCGACCCCUAAGGCGAGGCCGAAAGGCGUAGUCGAUGGGAAACGGGUUAAUAUUCCCGUACUUGGUGUUACUGCGAAGGGGGGACGGAGAAGGCUAUGUUGGCCGGGCGACGGUUGUCCCGGUUUAAGCGUGUAGGUGUGUGUUCCAGGUAAAUCCGGUUCACUUUAACACUGAGGCGUGACGACGAGGCACUACGGUGCUGAAGCAACAAAUGCCCUGCUUCCAGGAAAAGCCUCUAAGCAUCAGGUAACAUCAAAUCGUACCCCAAACCGACACAGGUGGUCAGGUAGAGAAUACCAAGGCGCUUGAGAGAACUCGGGUGAAGGAACUAGGCAAAAUGGUGCCGUAACUUCGGGAGAAGGCACGCUGACAUGUAGGUGAAGUGAUUUACUCAUGGAGCUGAAGUCAGUCGAAGAUACCAGCUGGCUGCAACUGUUUAUUAAAAACACAGCACUGUGCAAACACGAAAGUGGACGUAUACGGUGUGACGCCUGCCCGGUGCCGGAAGGUUAAUUGAUGGGGUCAGCGCAAGCGAAGCUCCUGAUCGAAGCCCCGGUAAACGGCGGCCGUAACUAUAACGGUCCUAAGGUAGCGAAAUUCCUUGUCGGGUAAGUUCCGACCUGCACGAAUGGCGUAAUGAUGGCCAGGCUGUCUCCACCCGAGACUCAGUGAAAUUGAACUCGCUGUGAAGAUGCAGUGUACCCGCGGCAAGACGGAAAGACCCCGUGAACCUUUACUAUAGCUUGACACUGAACAUUGAGCCUUGAUGUGUAGGAUAGGUGGGAGGCUUUGAAGCGUGGACGCCAGUCUGCGUGGAGCCGACCUUGAAAUACCACCCUUUAAUGUUUGAUGUUCUAACGUGGACCCGUAAUCCGGGUUGCGGACAGUGUCUGGUGGGUAGUUUGACUGGGGCGGUCUCCUCCUAAAGAGUAACGGAGGAGCACGAAGGUUGGCUAAUCCUGGUCGGACAUCAGGAGGUUAGUGCAAUGGCAUAAGCCAGCUUGACUGCGAGCGUGACGGCGCGAGCAGGUGCGAAAGCAGGUCAUAGUGAUCCGGUGGUUCUGAAUGGAAGGGCCAUCGCUCAACGGAUAAAAGGUACUCCGGGGAUAACAGGCUGAUACCGCCCAAGAGUUCAUAUCGACGGCGGUGUUUGGCACCUCGAUGUCGGCUCAUCACAUCCUGGGGCUGAAGUAGGUCCCAAGGGUAUGGCUGUUCGCCAUUUAAAGUGGUACGCGAGCUGGGUUUAGAACGUCGUGAGACAGUUCGGUCCCUAUCUGCCGUGGGCGCUGGAGAACUGAGGGGGGCUGCUCCUAGUACGAGAGGACCGGAGUGGACGCAUCACUGGUGUUCGGGUUGUCAUGCCAAUGGCACUGCCCGGUAGCUAAAUGCGGAAGAGAUAAGUGCUGAAAGCAUCUAAGCACGAAACUUGCCCCGAGAUGAGUUCUCCCUGAGACUUAGAGUCUCCUGAAGGAACGUUGAAGACGACGACGUUGAUAGGCCGGGUGUGUAAGCGCAGCGAUGCGUUGAGCUAACCGGUACUAAUGAACCGUGAGGCUUAACCUU